rnacentral:rRNA from 1 species
CGGCCGCGUCGACUGCCAUUCAGUUGGGGCACUCUAAGGUGACUGCCGGUGAUAAACCGGAGGAAGGUGGGGAUGACGUCAAAUCAUCAUGCCCCUUAUGACCUGGGCUACACACGUGCUACAAUGGACGGUACAGAGGGUUGCCAACCCGCGAGGGGGAGCUAAUCCCAUAAAACCGUUCCCAGUUCGGAUUGCCAGGCUGCAACUCGCCUGGCAUGAAGCCGGAAUCGCUAGUAAUCGUGGAUCAGCAUGCCACGGUGAAUACGUUCCCGGGUCUUGUACACACCUCCCGUCACACCACGAGAGUUUGUAACACCCGUCGACGCGGCCG